rnacentral:SRP_RNA from 1 species
CGGUGGACUAGCCUGGGUGGCUCGACGUCACCUGUAACCCGAAACCGUCGGUAUGCGGGGGGCGAAGCCCAAAGAAGGAUUUUUCUGCUGUCAGAGUAGCUUUGGAAUGUUGCUGUAGAUGUCUCGUUCCAUGUGGUCGCCGUUGAUACAGGGUAUAUCGGAGGGUAUAUUCUGUAUUCUUUAUCGUGUGCACCGGUUCAGGCCCGGAAGGGAGCAGACCUAGCAUGAACGUACGACGCUCAUGGAGUGGCGGGACGGAGGCGGCUUUUCAAAAAGCUCCUGGUGGUUAGAUUUUCCGACCGAGGGCGUGUCCACCG